rnacentral:rRNA from 1 species
UUAAGCGACUAAGCGUACACGGUGGAUGCCCUGGCAGUCAGAGGCGAUGAAGGACGUGCUAAUCUGCGAAAAGCGUCGGUAAGGUGAUAUGAACCGUUAUAACCGGCGAUGUCCGAAUGGGGAAACCCAGUGCAAUUCGUUGCACUAUCGUUAACUGAAUACAUAGGUUAACGAGGCGAACCGGGGGAACUGAAACAUCUAAGUACCCCGAGGAAAAGAAAUCAACCGAGAUUCCCCCAGUAGCGGCGAGCGAACGGGGAGCAGCCCAGAGUCUGAAUCAGCUUGUGUGUUAGUGGAACGGUCUGGAAAGUCCGACGGUACAGGGUGAUAGUCCCGUACACCAAAAUGCACAGGCUGUGAACUCGAAGAGUAGGGCGGGACACGUGGUAUCCUGUCUGAAUAUGGGGGGACCAUCCUCCAAGGCUAAAUACUCCUGACUGACCGAUAGUGAACCAGUACCGUGAGGGAAAGGCGAAAAGAACCCCGGCGAGGGGAGUGAAAAAGAACCUGAAACCGUGUACGUACAAGCAGUGGGAGCACCUUCGGGUGUGACUGCGUACCUUUUGUAUAAUGGGUCAGCGACUUAUAUUCUGUAGCAAGGUUAACCGUAUAGGGGAGCCGCAGGGAAACCGAGUCUUAACUGGGCGUUAAGUUGCAGGGUAUAGACCCGAAACCCGGUGAUCUAGCCAUGGGCAGGUUGAAGGUUGGGUAACACUAACUGGAGGACCGAACCGACUAAUGUUGAAAAAUUAGCGGAUGACUUGUGGCUGGGGGUGAAAGGCCAAUCAAACCGGGAGAUAGCUGGUUCUCCCCGAAAGCUAUUUAGGUAGCGCCUCGUGAACUCAUCUUCGGGGGUAGAGCACUGUUUCGGCUAGGGGGUCAUCCCGACUUACCAACCCGAUGCAAACUACGAAUACCGAAGAAUGUUAUCACGGGAGACACACGGCGGGUGCUAACGUCCGUCGUGAAGAGGGAAACAACCCAGACCGCCAGCUAAGGUCCCAAAGUCAUGGUUAAGUGGGAAACGAUGUGGGAAGGCACAGACAGCCAGGAUGUUGGCUUAGAAGCAGCCAUCAUUUAAAGAAAGCGUAAUAGCUCACUGGUCGAGUCGGCCUGCGCGGAAGAUGUAACGGGGCUAAACCAUGCACCGAAGCUGCGGCAGCGACACUAUGUGUUGUUGGGUAGGGGAGCGUUCUGUAAGCCUGCGAAGGUGACCUGUGAGGGUUGCUGGAGGUAUCAGAAGUGCGAAUGCUGACAUAAGUAACGAUAAAGCGGGUGAAAAGCCCGCUCGCCGGAAGACCAAGGGUUCCUGUCCAACGUUAAUCGGGGCAGGGUGAGUCGACCCCUAAGGCGAGGCCGAAAGGCGUAGUCGAUGGGAAACAGGUUAAUAUUCCUGUACUUGGUGUUACUGCGAAGGGGGGACGGAGAAGGCUAUGUUAGCCGGGCGACGGUUGUCCCGGUUUAAGCAUGUAGGCUGAUUAUCCAGGCAAAUCCGGAUAAUCAAGGCUGAGGUGUGAUGACGAGGCACUACGGUGCUGAAGUAACAAAUGCCCUGCUUCCAGGAAAAGCCUCUAAGCAUCAGGUAACAUCAAAUCGUACCCCAAACCGACACAGGUGGUCAGGUAGAGAAUACCAAGGCGCUUGAGAGAACUCGGGUGAAGGAACUAGGCAAAAUGGUGCCGUAACUUCGGGAGAAGGCACGCUGGUGUGUAGGUGAAGUCCCUGCGGAUGGAGCUGAGACCAGUCGAAGAUACCAGCUGGCUGCAACUGUUUAUUAAAAACACAGCACUGUGCAAACACGAAAGUGGACGUAUACGGUGUGACGCCUGCCCGGUGCCGGAAGGUUAAUUGAUGGGGUUAUCCGUAAGGAGAAGCUCUUGAUCGAAGCCCCGGUAAACGGCGGCCGUAACUAUAACGGUCCUAAGGUAGCGAAAUUCCUUGUCGGGUAAGUUCCGACCUGCACGAAUGGCGUAAUGAUGGCCAGGCUGUCUCCACCCGAGACUCAGUGAAAUUGAACUCGCUGUGAAGAUGCAGUGUACCCGCGGCAAGACGGAAAGACCCCGUGAACCUUUACUAUAGCUUGACACUGAACAUUGAGCCUUGAUGUGUAGGAUAGGUGGGAGGCUUUGAAGCGUGGACGCCAGUCUGCGUGGAGCCAACCUUGAAAUACCACCCUUUAAUGUUUGAUGUUCUAACGUUGGCCCCUGACCGGGGUUGCGGACAGUGUCUGGUGGGUAGUUUGACUGGGGCGGUCUCCUCCCAAAGCGUAACGGAGGAGCACGAAGGUUAGCUAAUCCUGGUCGGACAUCAGGAGGUUAGUGCAAUGGCAUAAGCUAGCUUGACUGCGAGCGUGACGGCGCGAGCAGGUGCGAAAGCAGGUCAUAGUGAUCCGGUGGUUCUGAAUGGAAGGGCCAUCGCUCAACGGAUAAAAGGUACUCCGGGGAUAACAGGCUGAUACCGCCCAAGAGUUCAUAUCGACGGCGGUGUUUGGCACCUCGAUGUCGGCUCAUCACAUCCUGGGGCUGAAGUAGGUCCCAAGGGUAUGGCUGUUCGCCAUUUAAAGUGGUACGCGAGCUGGGUUUAGAACGUCGUGAGACAGUUCGGUCCCUAUCUGCCGUGGGCGCUGGAGAAUUGAGGGGGGCUGCUCCUAGUACGAGAGGACCGGAGUGGACGCAUCACUGGUGUUCGGGUUGUCAUGCCAAUGGCACUGCCCGGUAGCUAAAUGCGGAAGAGAUAAGUGCUGAAAGCAUCUAAGCACGAAACUUGCCCCGAGAUGAGUUCUCCCUGAGACUUUAAGUCUCCUGAAGGAACGUUAAAGACGAUGACGUUGAUAGGCCGGGUGUGUAAGCGCAGCGAUGCGUUGAGCUAACCGGUACUAAUGAACCGUGAGGCUUAACCUU